CCUACGGGUGGCUGCAGUGGGGAAUAUUGGACAAUGGGCGAAAGCCUGAUCCAGCCAUGCCGCGUGUGUGAAGAAGGCCUUCGGGUUGUAAAGCACUUUCAGUGGGGAAGAAAGCCUUGGGGCUAAUACCCUCGAGGAAGGACAUCACCCACAGAAGAAGCACCGGCUAACUCCGUGCCAGCAGCCGCGGUAAUACGGAGGGUGCGAGCGUUAAUCGGAAUUACUGGGCGUAAAGCGCGCGUAGGCGGUCUGAUAAGCCGGUUGUGAAAGCCCCGGGCUCAACCUGGGAACGGCAUCCGGAACUGUCAGGCUAGAGUGCAGGAGAGGAAGGUAGAAUUCCCGGUGUAGCGGUGAAAUGCGUAGAGAUCGGGAGGAAUACCAGUGGCGAAGGCGGCCUUCUGGACUGACACUGACGCUGAGGUGCGAAAGUGUGGGUAGCAAACAGGAUUAGAUACCCGUGUAGUC
rnacentral:rRNA from 1 species